ACAAACUUGGUCAUUUAGAGGAAGUAAAAGUCGUAACAAGGUCUCCGUUGGUGAACCAGCGGAGGGAUCAUUACAGAGUUACUAUAAAACUCCCAACCCUUUGUGAACCUUACCGUCGUUGCCUCGGUGGAAGGUGGUGUGCGGUGGGAAGCUACCCUGGAGCUACCUACCCUGUAGAUAGCUACCCUGGAGCUACCCUGAAAAUACGCCCCCCGCCAGCCGCCGAAGGACCACUAAACUCUUGUUUUUACUGUGUCUCUCUGAAUAAUGAAACAAAAAUUCGUUAAAACUUUCAACAACGGAUCUCUUGGUUCUGGCAUCGAUGAAGAACGCAGC
rnacentral:misc_RNA from 1 species